rnacentral:rRNA from 1 species
GACGAACGCUGGCGGCGGGCUUAACACAUGCAAGUCGAACGGAAAGGCCCUGCUUUUGUGGGGUGCUCGAGUGGCGAACGGGUGAGUAACACGUGAGUAACCUGCCCUUGACUUUGGGAUAACUUCAGGAAACUGGGGCUAAUACCGGACAGGAGCUCAUGCUGCAUGGUGGGGGUUGGAAAGUUUCGGCGGUUGGGGUUGGACGCGCGGCUUAUCAGCUUGUUGGUUGGGUAGUGGCUUACCAAGGCUUUGACGGGUAGCCGGCCUGAGAGGGUGAACGGCCACAUUGGGACUGAGAUACGGCCCAGACUCCUACGGGAGGCAGCAGUGGGGAAUAUUGUACAAUGGGCGGAAGCCUGAUGCAGCAACGCUGCGUGCGGGAUGACGGCCUUCGGGUUGUAAACCGCUUUAGCCUGUGACGAAGCGUGAGUGACGGUAAUGGGUAAAGAAGCACCGGCUAACUACGUG